CAAGCCACAAAGAAGCCAUCUACCGCGGUCAACAACACUUCCUGAUUGAACAGAAUCACGCGCUGUCUGUGUGGUUUCACUGUUACAAGUUUCUUGGCGAUAUGGGGGGAAAGUUCCUCACAUACCAACGGAAAAUGGGCUUCACAUACAUGCUGCUGUCUCAUAAUAUGGCGAAGACGAGUCACCUGAAGGCCUAACUCGCCAUAGAAGACUGAAAGAAUUGUCCUGCAGGAUGCUGUGUCCUGCAAUCCUGUGUGCUGUGCUACAGACGCGUGUGGAGGUCAACC